GCGAGUCUCCAGGUGGCUGUGGGGUAUUUGCUUACAACGGCUACCGCUGGUUUCCCUGAAAACUGUUUAUUUUUCCAGGCCUCAGGUUAUUACAUCACCCCGCGGUUUCUGGGCAGGCCAAGAGCGCUGGUUUGGGGGGUGGGGGAUCCAGCCAGGAGAUGCUAUUGCUUCUGUGACCCCAGGUCCCAGUUCUAGGAGCAGCCACCCUGGCAGGAACUUCCAGGUAAGGGAAGAGUAUCCAAAAGGUGACCAAGGGGCCCAAAGUGCCCUAGGAGAGCACUGUUCUGACCUGGCAGGUCAGGACAGGAUGCUGAAAACAGCUUACUGGUGACUCGGAUGGUGACUGAGGCAAACACUGUCACAAUUAAGGAGGGCAGGGGUCAUGGUCACAACAGACGUAUGAGAAAUGCAUUUCUGCCUUGUGUCCCCGCUGGUGGCUUGUCUCCCAGGAGCAGAGUUACCAGCAGCUGUUGCAUCUGCAGAUGGACAGAAGGAAGGUCUGCCAGGCAAGCAGGCCUCGCACAACGCCGGGCACACAGCGCUACAAGGACUUGUAAGAGCUGACUCAUUUAGAAGGAUGAUGCUGCCGGCCUGUCUUACUCAGCCACGGCUCCUUGGUCUUGGCAGUUUGCAAGGUGCAACAGGAUGGAGAGUGACAACUCCUUGGGCCUUGACCACAGGAGCUACGUGGGGCUUAGGGCUGAAGAAGUGGUUCGGAUGUGGCCCCAAGGCCUGUCCACCCACAGGCCGAAAUCCCUGCCUCCCUCCAGCUUGCUGGGCCACACUUGGAACUGAACUCAUUCAGCCAAGGAACAUAUCUUCAGUGGCCAGACAAGCUUGGAGCCAUCCCCUAGACUUCGGGAGCCUCACAAAGGUAACAGGCAGAAGAAUCAAGAACUUGCCACUGGACCAUGCUCAUCCCCGGCAGCCUCCUCCAAGGGUCUCUCCUUAGAGGCUCUAAGCCUGGGGGCCACUGGCCAGGGCAUUUGGAGGAGCCACCCGCCAUCCCUCCCCUGCUUCCCAGUAUCCCAGCAUCUAGAAGCCUGUGCUCCUCUGGGAGGCUUCCCCUCCAUGACGAUGCCUUCGACAGGGAGAGGCUAAGACCAUCAGAGUGUGAGCUCCACGAACUGAGGGCCCUUACAUUUCGCCCGCCACUGGGUCCUCAGGGACUGUAAUAAAGCUGGCACUGAAGUCUCAGUGAGUAUUUGUUGAAUGAAAGAACAAAACAGCCAAGUAUAAAACACCAGUGGUCACUAACAACACUGGGGGACUCGUUAGAAUCCACGGCUAGAGGGCUUUUCCAGAUCACAAACCCCGUUUCCUCUCCACUCCUUGGAAAUCAGGUAUCCUCCAUUCAUAAACUUUCUUUUGGAGACCACAGAAUAGGGGCUGAGAUGCAGGGCGGGCAGUUGAGUAGAUGGAGUUACUCCCUGCUGGGGGAGUAAUGAGCAGUGGGUAGUGGGAGAUGAACACUCGUGCACACCCCUUCUGCAACUGAUCUCUUUGAAGCUGAUAUACCGACCCAGGCUGGGUCAGGGUGGCUCGGACAAUAGACAGCAGCAGCAACCUGCAUGCAGAGGGGAAGAGAGCUGCAUCUCAUGGGCCUGGAGCUACUUGGGUGCAGUUUGUAGCAGGCAUGCAUCAGAAUGAAUGGUUCUCCACAGGGAAAUCCAAUGUGAGCCGAGGUCAACACAUAGAGGUCAUCAGUUGCCCAUCUCCAUUCAAAUCCAGCCCAGGCUGGAAGGUAAUCAGACUUAAGCCAUCUGAUGGCAAGGCUGACAGAUCACCUAUGGAUCUGGCCGCCUUCUCUGGGCUGAGAGAAGAGAAAAAAGAGGUGGCUGGGAAGAGGUGAAAGACACGUGAACAGGGUGACAUUCUGUGUAUAGGAUGCUCUGAGACGUCUGGCUCUGCACGCCUCAACCAGGUUCGAGGCAAUGCAAGAAAAUCCCUUCAGGUGUACUUAACCCCCAUGAGGGCGGAGGCUAGAGACCACACAAGCCCCUUCAUCUGGGAGACCUACCAUCCAUCACCCCUGCCCUAAGCACAUCCCUCAGCCCUGAGGGGAAGUGCUGCUAGCUCCACCAUUUGAGUGACAAAGGUCUCCAAGCUGGCAUCAACUUGUAGACCAAACACCAUGAGAGAUCCUCAAAACUGAGACCCAGAGAUGGACUCUGAAAAAAUAAUUAUGACUCAUUCUUCACUUGGAACACAUACUAUGGAGCAGUCAGUGGAGGGGCAGUGAGGUGGGGAGGGGGCAAUAAAAGAAGUCUCUACGAGUUGAAUUUUGGAAGUUCCGUUUCUCUCCAAGACUGGCUUGCCAAAUACAGGAGCAUGUGAAGAAAAGAGAGCAGUUUUCUACAUGUUUUUAUUCUUCUCUCACUUUCCUUACACUGCUCACUCCCAGAGCUCUUAGAAAUAAGAAAAGAGCAAACUGCAGAAAACUCCCAAUGACCCUAAAUUUUCAUUGGCCAUAUAUCCUAGGCGCUCCAGAGAAAAAGUUCCCAGAAACUGCCAGAAAUCAUUGUCCAAGUCCUCUCCUACUACUCUUCCAUUCUUCACCUGCGCCACCAACACCCCGCUGGAGGCCUAGAACAUCCUUACUGCACCUCAUAAGCAAUGAAGCCUAGGACCAGUCCCUGACUCUGUGUUAGGUUAUCCUGGAAACUCCCUCAAAUCGCCCACAUUUGUUAGCAUCUGAACCCCCAAAAGAGGCACCCCAGGAAAGUCCACGAGCCUUGGUGGGCCAGGAAAAGCUGCUCAGGGUAAAAUCACCACCUCUAAAUCACAUUUUGCUUCCCAGUCACUUUUCUACUUCAAUGGAAACCCCAAAUCCUUCCUCUCAACUUCUGCAGCUUUCAACUGUUUUAGCAGCAGAUGGUCAGAACUCAGAGGUUGCUGAGGGGUCCUCUCCUCUCUUCUGAUAUUCCUCUGUAGCAUCAAUAAAACACAUGUGGAUGCACGUGUGCCCCCUGCCCCCCCAAAAUGCACACAUACCCCUUCCAUCUCUCUCAGGGGGCGAGGACCAUCAGAGAAGGGACGGCUGCAGGAUGGGAGUGCCCCAGAUCAAUGGAUAUUUGAAACUCAAACACAUGGCCCGGGACCUACCCCGCAUGUGUUAAUUACCACACAUGUGCCCAUAAAGGAGUCCGGGGAAACACAAGGGGCCCAAAGAACAGAGCACAGUGAAGACAUUCCAGGGGAUUAAGUAAACAGUCUGAAGUUCUGACCCUCCUCCCCUCCUGCAGCACGUGCAUCUGGGUAAGAUAACCGGG